GGGAAUGUGGCUUAGUGGUAGAGUGCUUGCCUCCCAUGCAUGAGGUUCUGGGUUUGAUUCCUUGGUACCA
rnacentral:tRNA from 1 species